rnacentral:rRNA from 1 species
UCGCCUGUUUAUCAAAAACAUCGCCGUGAACAACUCACGGUCUAUCUGCCCAGUGAUCUCUAAACGGCCGCAGUAUCCUGACUGUGCUAAGGUAGCAUAAUAAUUAGUUUUUUUAUUGAAAACUUGAAUGAACGACUCGACGAAAAAUUUUCUGUCUCGGCAAUACCUUAAACUUACUAAAAAAGUAAAAAAGCUUUUACCCUCUAAUAGGACGACAAGACCCUAUAAAACUUUACCUUAUUUAUGUUUUGACUAAUAUACAAACUGCGCAGGGUUUAACUGGGGCGGUUUACUUUACCUUAAACAAAGACCAAACUAACAUACUUCAUGACCCUGCCGAACACUUUUUAGCAAUAAAGAACAAGUUACUUUAGGGAUAACAGCGCAAUAUCUUUUUAGAGCCCUUAUCGACAAAGAUGUUUACGACCUCGAUGUUGAAUUGAAGAACCUUAAUGAGGCAGCCCUCAUUGUAGGAAGUCUGUUCGACUUUUAAUCCUUCACAUGAUCUGAG